CGAACGAUGAAGCCCUUCGGGGUGGAUUAGUGGCGAACGGGUGAGUAACACGUGGGCAAUCUGCCCUUCACUCUGGGACAAGCCCUGGAAACGGGGUCUAAUACCGGAUAACACUCUGUCCCGCAUGGGACGGGGUUAAAAGCUCCGGCGGUGAAGGAUGAGCCCGCGGCCUAUCAGCUUGUUGGUGGGGUGAUGGCCUACCAAGGCGACGACGGGUAGCCGGCCUGAGAGGGCGACCGGCCACACUGGGACUGAGACACGGCCCAGACUCCUACGGGAGGCAGCAGUGGGGAAUAUUGCACAAUGGGCGAAAGCCUGAUGCAGCGACGCCGCGUGAGGGAUGACGGCCUUCGGGUUGUAAACCUCUUUCAGCAGGGAAGAAGCGAAAGUGACGGUACCUGCAGAAGAAGCGCCGGCUAACUACGUGCCAGCAGCCGCGGUAAUACGUAGGGCGCAAGCGUUGUCCGGAAUUAUUGGGCGUAAAGAGCUCGUAGGCGGCUUGUCACGUCGGAUGUGAAAGCCCGGGGCUUAACCCCGGGUCUGCAUUCGAUACGGGCUAGCUAGAGUGUGGUAGGGGAGAUCGGAAUUCCUGGUGUAGCGGUGAAAUGCGCAGAUAUCAGGAGGAACACCGGUGGCGAAGGCGGAUCUCUGGGCCAUUACUGACGCUGAGGAGCGAAAGCGUGGGGAGCGAACAGGAUUAGAUACCCUGGUAGUCCACGCCGUAAACGUUGGGAACUAGGUGUUGGCGA
rnacentral:rRNA from 1 species